UCUCUGGUAGUAUAGUGGUGAGUAUCCGCGCCUGUCACGUGCGAGACCGGGGUUCGAUUCCCCGCCAGAAAG
rnacentral:tRNA from 1 species